rnacentral:rRNA from 1 species
AGAGUUUGAUCAUGGCUCAGGAUGAACGCUAGCUACAGGCUUAACACAUGCAAGUCGAGGGGAAACGACAUCGAAAGCUUGCUUUUGAUGGGCGUCGACCGGCGCACGGGUGAGUAACGCGUAUCCAACCUGCCCACCACUUGGGGAUAACCUUGCGAAAGUAAGACUAAUACCCAAUGACGUCUCUAGAAGACAUCUGAAAGAGAUUAAAGAUUUAUCGGUGAUGGAUGGGGAUGCGUCUGAUUAGCUUGUUGGCGGGGUAACGCCACAAGGCGACGAUCAGGUAGGGGUUCUGAGAGGAACGGUCCCCCANAUUGGAACUGAGACACGGUCCAAACUCGUACGGGAGCA